rnacentral:rRNA from 1 species
GUAGGUGGCAAGCGUUGUCCGGAAUUAUUGGGCGUAAAGCGCGCGCAGGUGGGUUCUUUAAGUCUGAUGUGAAAGCCCCCGGGCUCAACCGGGGAGGGUCAUUGGAAACUGGGGAACUUGAGUGCAGGAGAGGAAAGUGGAAUUCCACGUGUAGCGGUGAAAUGCGUAGAUAUGUGGAGGAACACCAGUGGCGAAGGCGACUUUCUGGCCUGUAACUGACACUGAGGCGCGAAAGCGUGGGGAGCAAACAGGAUUAGAUACCCUGGUAGUCCACGCCGUAAACGAUGAGUGCUAAGUGUUGGGGGGUUUCCGCCCCUCAGUGCUGCAGCUAACGCAUUAAGCACUCCGCCUGGGGAGUACGGUCGCAAGUCUG